rnacentral:rRNA from 1 species
UACGUAGGGUGCGAGCGUUGUCCGGAAUUACUGGGCGUAAAGAGCUCGUAGGUGGUUUGUCGCGUCGUCUGUGAAAUUCCGGGGCUUAACUCCGGGCGUGCAGGCGAUACGGGCAAUACUUGAGUGCUGUAGGGGAGACUGGAAUUCCUGGUGUAGCGGUGAAAUGCGCAGAUAUCAGGAGGAACACCAAUGGCGAAGGCAGGUCUCUGGGCAGUAACUGACGCUGAGGAGCGAAAGCAUGGGUAGCGAACAGGAUUAGAUA